ensembl:snRNA
AAAUGAUAUGAUAGGAAAGGAAGGAAAAAUAUCUCUUAACAAGGAUGGAAGUGGAUCUAGUAGCCUUUUCAUCAUACACAUGGUUAAGGCGUCAAUGCCUACUCCUGAUCAUUUAACUUUGUUUUUUC